rnacentral:rRNA from 1 species
GACGAACGCUGGCGGCGUGCUUAACACAUGCAAGUCGAACGGAAAGGCCCUGCUUUUGUGGGGUGCUCGAGUGGCGAACGGGUGAGUAACACGUGAGUAACCUGCCCUUGACUUUGGGAUAACUUCAGGAAACUGGGGCUAAUACCGGAUAGGAUCUCCUGCUGCAUUGUGGGGGUUGGAAAGUUUCGGCGGUUGGGGAUGGACUCGCGGCUUAUCAGCUUGUUGGUGGGGUAGUGGCUUACCAAGGCUUUGACGGGUAGCCGGCCUGAGAGGGUGACCGGCCACAUUGGGACUGAGAUACGGCCCAGACUCCUACGGGAGGCAGCAGUGGGGAAUAUUGCACAGUGAGCGGAAGCCUGAUGCAGCAACGCCGCGUGCGGGAUGACGGCCUUCGGGUUGUGAACAGCUUUCGCCUGUGACGAAGCGUGAGUGACGGUAAUGAGUAAAGAAGCACCGGCUAACUACGUG